UUCUCCAAAGCUACGGAACAAGGACAAUUCCUACUUCUGCCAUUUGGAGGCACAAAAAGAGCUCCAAGGAAACAUGAGCCUAAUGAGCUCAUGUGCCAUGGAGUCAUACAUUUUCAUUUAGAGUU